rnacentral:rRNA from 1 species
ACGAACGCUGGCGGCGUGCCUAAUACAUGCAAGUCGAACGGUCUUUCUAUGGAAGCUUGCUUCCACUGAGAAGAUAGUGGCGAACGGGUGAGUAACACGUGGGUAACCUGCCCAUAAGAGGGGGAUAACAUCCGGAAACGGGUGCUAAUACCGCAUAGUUUUCUUGAUCGCAUGAUUGAGAAAGGAAAGACGGCCUUUGUGCUGUCGCUUAUGGAUGGACCCGCGGCGUAUUAGUUAGUUGGUGAGGUAAUGGCUCACCAAGACGAUGAUACGUAGCCGACCUGAGAGGGUGAUCGGCCACAUUGGGACUGAGACACGGCCCAAACUCCUACGGGAGGCAGCAGUAGGGAAUCUUCCGCAAUGGACGAAAGUCUGACGGAGCAACGCCGCGUGAGUGAAAGAAGGUUUUCGGAUCGUAAAACUCUGUUGUCAGAGAAGAACAAGUUGGAGAGUAACUGCUCCAGCCUUGACGGUAUCUGACCAGAAAGCCACGGCUAACUACGUGCCAGCCGCGGC